UAGCCUAUCUUUGUUGUGUCGUAGUGGC
rnacentral:piRNA from 1 species